rnacentral:rRNA from 1 species
AACGAACGCUGGCGGCAGGCCUAACACAUGCAAGUCGAGCGAGGACUUCGGUCCUAGCGGCGGACGGGUGAGUAACGCGUGGGAACGUGCCCUUUGCUUCGGAAUAGCCCUGGGAAACUGGGAGUAAUACCGAUGAGCCCUUUGGGGGAAAGAUUUAUCGGCGAAGGAUCGGCCCGCGUUGGAUUAGGUAGUUGGUGGGGUAAUGGCCUACCAAGCCGACGAUCCAUAGCUGGUUUGAGAGGAUGAUCAGCCACACUGGGACUGAGACACGGCCCAGACUCCUACGGGAGGCAGCAGUGGGGAAUCUUAGACAAUGGGGGAAACCCUGAUCUAGCCAUGCCGCGUGAGCGAUGAAGGCCUUAGGGUUGUAAAGCUCUUUCAGCUGGGAAGAUAAUGACGGUACCAGCAGAAGAAGCCCCGGCUAACUCCGUG